rnacentral:tRNA from 1 species
AGCGGGGUGGAGCAGUCGGGUAGCUCGUCGGGCUCAUAACCCGGAGGUCGUCGGUUCGAAUCCGACCCCCGCAACCA